AAGUCGAACGAAGUAGCAAUACUUAGUGGCAGACGGGUGAGUAACAUGUGGGUAUCUUCCCUUUGGUGAGGAAUAACACGAGGAAACUUGUGCUAAUACCUCAUAAGUCUUUACGGAGAAAGCUUUAUGCGCCAAUGGAUGAGCCCGCACUUGAUUAGUUUGUUGGUGGGGUAAUGGCCUACCAAGACUGUGAUCAAUAGCUGAUUUGAGAGGAUGAUCAGCCACAUUGGGACUGAGACACGGCCCAAACUCCUACGGGAGGCAGCAGUAAGGAAUCUUGCACAAUGGAGGAAACUCUGAUGCAGCGAUGCCGCGUGAGUGAAGAAGGCCUUUGGGUUGUAAAGCUCUUUCGUCGGGGAAGAAAAUGACUGUACCCGAAUAAGAAGGUCCGGCUAACUUCGUGCCAGCAGCCGCGGUAAUACGAAGGGACCUAGCGUAGUUCGGAAUUACUGGGCUUAAAGAGUUCGUAGGUGGUUAAAAAAGUUGGUAGUGAAAUCCCAGAGCUUAACUCUGGAACUGCUAUCAAAACUUUUUAGCUAGAGUAUGAUAGAGGAAAGCAGAAUUUCUAGUGUAGAGGUGAAAUUCGUAGAUAUUAGAAAGAAUACCAAUUGCGAAGGCAGCUUUCUGGAUCAUUACUGACGCUGAGGGACGAAAGCAUGGG
rnacentral:rRNA from 1 species